GACGAACGCUGGCGGCGUGCUUAACACAUGCAAGUCGAACGGAAAGGCCCUGCUUUUGUGGGGUGCUCGAGAGGCGAACGGGUGAGUAACACGUGAGUAACCUGCCCUUGACUUUGGGAUAACUUCAGGAAACUGGGGCUAAUAUCGGAUAGGAGCUCCUGCUUCAUGUUGUGGUUUGGAAAGUUUCGGCGGUUGGGGAUGGACUCGCGGCUUAUCAGCUUGUUGGUGGGGUAGUGGCUUACCAAGGCUUUGACGGGUAGCCGGCCUGAGAGGGUGACCGGCCACAUUGGGACUGGGGUGCGGGCCAGACUCCUACGGGAGGCAGCGGUGGGGAAUAGUGCGCGAUGGGCGGAAGGCUGAUGCAGCAACGCCGCGUGGUGGAUGACGGCCGUCGGGUUGUAAACCGCUUUCGCCUGUGACGAAGCGUGAGUGACGGUAAUGGGUAAAGAAGCACCGGCUAACUACGUG
rnacentral:rRNA from 1 species